rnacentral:rRNA from 1 species
AAAGAAAUCAACCGAGAUUCCCCCAGUAGCGGCGAGCGAACGGGGAGGAGCCCAGAGCCUGAAUCAGCAUGUGUGUUAGUGGAAGCGUCUGGAAAGGCGCGCGAUACAGGGUGACAGCCCCGUACACAAAAGCGCAUGUGCUGUGAGCUCGAUGAGUAGGGCGGGACACGUGGUAUCCUGUCUGAAUAUGGGGGGACCAUCCUCCAAGGCUAAAUACUCCUGACUGACCGAUAGUGAACCAGUACCGUGAGGGAAAGGCGAAAAGAACCCCGGCGAGGGGAGUGAAAAAGAACCUGAAACCGUGUACGUACAAGCAGUGGGAGCACAGGUUUACCUGUGUGACUGCGUACCUUUUGUAUAAUGGGUCAGCGACUUAUAUUCUGUAGCAAGGUUAACCGUAUAGGGGAGCCGGAGGGAAACCGAGUCUUAACCGGGCGUUAAGUUGCAGGGUAUAGACCCGAAACCCGGUGAUCUAGCCAUGGGCAGGUUGAAGGUUGGGUAACACUAACUGGAGGACCGAACCGACUAAUGUUGAAAAAUUAGCGGAUGACCUGUGGCUGGGGGUGAAAGGCCAAUCAAACCGGGAGAUAGCUGGUUCUCCCCGAAAGCUAUUUAGGUAGCGCCUCGUGAAUUCAUCUCCGGGGGUAGAGCACUGUUUCGGCUAGGGGGCCAUCCCGGCUUACCAACCCGAUGCAAACUGCGAAUACCGGAGAAUGUUAUCACGGGAGACACACGGCGGGUGCUAACGUCCGUCGUGAAGAGGGAAACAACCCAGACCGCCAGCUAAGGUCCCAAAGUCAUGGUUAAGUGGGAAACGAUGUGGGAAGGCCCAGACAGCCAGGAUGUUGGCUUAGAAGCAGCCAUCAUUUAAAGAAAGCGUAAUAGCUCACUGGUCGAGUCGGCCUGCGCGGAAGAUGUAACGGGGCUAAACCAUGCACCGAAGCUGCGGCAGCGACACUCAGGUGUUGUUGGGUAGGGGAGCGUUCUGUAAGCCUGUGAAGGUGGCCUGUGAGGGUUGCUGGAGGUAUCAGAAGUGCGAAUGCUGACAUAAGUAACGAUAAAGCGGGUGAAAAGCCCGCUCGCCGGAAGACCAAGGGUUCCUGUCCAACGUUAAUCGGGGCAGGGUGAGUCGACCCCUAAGGCGAGGCCGAAAGGCGUAGUCGAUGGGAAACGGGUUAAUAUUCCCGUACU